rnacentral:rRNA from 1 species
GGAUGCGAUCAUACCAGCACUAAAGCAGCGGAUCCAAUGAGAACUCCGAAGUUAAGCGUGCUUGGGUGAGAGUAGUACUAGGAUGGGUGACCUCCUGGGAAGUCCUCGUGUUGCAUUCC